rnacentral:rRNA from 1 species
CAAUAGCGUAUACUAAAGUUGUUGCGAUUAAAAAGCUCGUAGUUGGAUCUCAGGCAUGGGCGCACGGUCCGCCUCGCGGCGGCCACUGUGUGUUUUGUUUCCCAUCCUACGCUUCCCGGUUAUCAGCCCAUGGUGCUCUUCACUGAGCGUUUUGGGUGGCCGGAACGUUUACUUUGAAGAAAUUAGAGUGUUCAAAGCAGGCACGUCGCCUGAAUAAUGGUGCAUGGAAUAAUGGAAUAGGACCUCGGUUCUAUUUUGCUGGUUUUCGGAACACGAGGUAAUGAUUAAGAGGGACAGACGGGGGCAUCCGUAUUGCGGUGUUAGAGGUGAAAUUCUUGGAUCAUCGCAAGACGAACAACUGCGAAAGCAUUUGCCAAGCAUGUUUUCAUUAG